AUUGAACGCUGGCGGCAUGCCUUACACAUGCCAGUCGAACGGCAGCACGGACUUCGGUCUGGUGGCGAGUGGCGAACGGGUGAGUAAUGUAUCGGAACGUACCUUUCAGUGGGGGAUAACGUAGCGAAAGUUACGCUAAUACCGCAUAUUCUGUGAGCAGGAAAGCAGGGGAUCGAAAGACCUUGCGCUGAUUGAGCGGCCGAUAUCAGAUUAGCUAGUUGGUGGGGUAAAGGCCUACCAAGGCGACGAUCUGUAGCGGGUCUGAGAGGAUGAUCCGCCACACUGGAACUGAGCCCCGGUCCAGACUCCUACGGGAGGCAGCAGUGGGGAAUUUUGGACAAUGGGGGCAACCCUGAUCCAGCCAUGCCGCGUGAGUGAAGAAGGCCUUCGGGUUGUAAAGCUCUUUCGGCCGGGAAGAAAUCGCAUAGGCUAAUACCCUGUGUGGAUGACGGUACCGGAAUAAGAAGCACCGGCUAACUACGUG
rnacentral:rRNA from 1 species